rnacentral:rRNA from 1 species
AACGAACGCUGGCGGCGCGUUUAAGCAUGCAAGUCGAGCGGCAAGGGCCUUCGGGCCCCUAGAGCGGCGGACGGGUGAGUAACACGUGGACAAUCUGCCCCCCGGCCCGGGAUAGCCCAGGGAAACCUGGAUUAAUACCGGAUGAGACGGGACCCGCGAUGGCGGGAUCCGGGAAAGGCGCUGCGGCGCCGCCGGGGGAUGAGUCUGCGUCCCAUUAGCUAGACGGCGGGGUAACGGCCCACCGUGGCGACGAUGGGUAGCCGGCCUGAGAGGGUGGACGGCCACAUUGGAACUGAGACACGGUCCAGACUCCUACGGGAGGCAGCAGCUAAGAAUCUUCCGCAAUGGGCGAAAGCCUGACGGAAGCGACGCCGCGUGAACGAAGAAGGCCGUGAGGUUGUAAAGUUCUUUUCGGGAGGGGGAACAACCGUGGCAGGGAAUGGCCGCGGGAUGACGUGAAUCCCGGAAUAAGCCCCGGCUAACUACGUGCCAGCCGCCGC